UCUCUGGUAGUUUAUCGGUUAGUACACGCGCCUGUCACAAGUGCAUUCGCAGAUUUUGGUGUCUGCGAGAAAACUGGGUUCGACUCCUAGCCAGGUAG